GACGAACGCUGGCGGCGUGCUUAACACAUGCAAGUCGAACGGUGAUGCUCCAGCUUGCUGGAGUGGAUCAGUGGCGAACGGGUGAGUAACACGUGAGCAACCUGCCCCAGACUCUGGAAUAAGCGCUGGAAACGGCGUCUAAUACUGGAUACGAAACUGGCCCGCAUGGGCAUGGUUUGGAAAGUUUUUCGGUUUGGGAUGGGCUCGCGGCCUAUCAGCUUGUUGGUGAGGUAAUGGCUCACCAAGGCGACGACGGGUAGCCGGCCUGAGAGGGCGACCGGCCACACUGGGACUGAGACACGGCCCAGACUCCUACGGGAGGCAGCAGUGGGGAAUAUUGCACAAUGGGCGAAAGCCUGAUGCAGCGACGCCGCGUGAGGGAUGACGGCCUUCGGGUUGUAAACCUCUUUCAGCAGGGAAGAAGCGAAAGUGACGGUACCUGCAGAAGAAGCGCCGGCUAACUACGUG
rnacentral:rRNA from 1 species